GGGCAGUCGAAUAGGAACAGUAACAAGAGUAGAAGAAUUGUUGGCGGGUAGGGAUAUUGAGAUUCAGAAGACUGAAAAGAGCAGCAGCAGCACCAGAAGAAGAAGAAGAUAUAGAGAAGAUUGCGGUGUUGUUGAAGAGUUGUUGCGAGGCAAGCAAAGCCUUCCUUGAUUUGGUUGGUAGCAUCGGUUCUUUAUGUUUUAAUUUUUCAGCGAUUUGUGUGCAGCGAAGCCUCAGCGUCAGCUCUUCCUCGUUCUCGAAAGCCCAGCUCUCUCCUUACUUACGCCGGCUUCAAGAGUGC
rnacentral:misc_RNA from 1 species